AACAGCUGUGAGCGCACUGGCCACGCCAGUCCGAGGGUCCCCCCCCCCUUUCGGCGGGCUCCGUGGCAGGAGGCCGGGGCGCCAAGGAGGAUAAGAGAAGCGGCGCGGUGGGAGAUGCGGCCGGGUUCGGCAGACAGACUGUUCCAUGACUGGCGGUGCUUGUCACAGGGAAGUCACCGUGAAGCCCCACCCGUGCAGCCCCACCCGUGCAGCCCCACCCGUGCAGCCACUGUCAUACACAGCAAAAUGGGAAAACAAAUAGCAUGUGGGGAAAAGCGAUGGAUCAUUAGGCUGAACCUGAAGAGAUGAAUUCCACAGCGGAUCAUCAUAAAGGAAGCACUUCGGGGGGGGGGGAUGCUACUCCCCAGCAGGAAUGACAACAUUACAGAGUAGUGCAUGGGGGACAGGUCAUACAGGUUCAGCACCAGGACGGAGUCUGCAAAGGGUCAAAAACACGAACAGACAGAAUCGACUGAGCCUGUGAAGAGGGGCAUGGAUGACAGCACAGACGCACACAGGAAGCCUCUUUCAUGUCUAAGUGGAUUUUUAUAUUUUAUUUUAUUUAUUUAUUUAUUUGAUUAAACCAUAUCGGACGUAUUUGUCAAAGCAUACUUUUGUGUGAAUGUGUUAUGGUGUUAUGAUGACCAUAUGGUGUGGUGGAACAGGAUUUUAUGGUUAAUGUAUUCAGGAAGUGUCUGUCUGGAAAGUUUAACGUUCGAUUUUUAAAUUGAGUAUCACAACGUUUUUUAAUAGCUAAAAACACACACACACAAACGAAGUAUGCGGUUAAGAUAAACACAGAGGCAGGAAGAGGUCUGUGUGUUUAGCCGGAAUCGCAUCAAUGAGGAAAAGUCAGACAAAAUUCAAAAGCAGAGAUAGUACAUUCUGUGAAGGUCAUUAAACUAUUCUGAAGUCUCUGAAUUGGUACAGAUGGUCUAAAAACCUCUCUCACAAAACUGCACUGAAAAUACGCACAAUGUUUAGGUUGCUGCAAAGAAUGUAAUGUAAACUAACCUAAACAAUGUAACACAAUAGCAGGUUUCAGUUAUUAUAACUAAAUACUGUAUGUAUUUAUGUAUAUCUAUACAUACUGUACAUGCAGCAUCCACACAGUGAUGAAUGCCCUGUUCAAAAUGACUUCACAUCACAUAAAAAAAGUUUGCAAAAAA